CUGAUCAGAGUCCCCUGAAGAUGACCCAGGACAAGCUGAAAAGUCUGUCUCUCAGCUGGCUUGGGAAUGCCUCAGGAUCACCAGCAAGAGCUGGAGUUGUUUGGGAGGGUGAAGUCUGAACUUCCCUGCUUUAGUUGCUGCCCCCGUGACCCGACAUUGGAUAAACGGAAGAGAAUGAAUGAAUGGAACACUGAGAUACAUUUAGAAAUUAAUCGUAACUGGUUGAACUUUCUAAAGACUAAGAAAAAGUUAAAAAAUGAAAGUGAUAAAGCUUCAGUUUUCUAUAAGUGUAAUCACAAUUUGGAAAAAUCUUUUUCCAUAGGAGAAAGAAGUGAGAAUGAUAAUCCGUGCCAAUUAACACCCAAGAGACGGACACCAUUUUCAAAUAAAGACAGGCCAUCAUCAGAUGAUGAUGAAAUUCCAUCAAGUAUUCCUGCCAAGAGAUCUUCCUUCAAAGUACUUCUAGGAAAGAGGAAGAGAACUCCCUGGCAGGAAAGCGAAAUAAAGGCGGUGGAAAGGCACAUGAUGGGACUCAUCAAAUCUUUUUGCGUCCCAGGAAAAAUGGAUUGCGAAAGAUGUUUAAGGGCUGAACCAGAAGCCCUUAAAACACGAGACUGGCAAACCCUCAAGUAUUAUGUUUAUAACCGCAUUUCGGCUGCCAAAAAGAAAUUGCAGCACAAAUAAGUUUUCAAUCAAUCUGUUGAGGCACUUUUAUUUUCAUUAUGGAUAUUUCACUUUGAAUGUAUUUUAAAACAAUGUCAACAGUUUGUUUGAUGUUUGUUUAAGGUAGACCAUAGGUGUCAAACUCUGGUCCUGGAGGGCCGCUGCCCUGCAUGUUUUCCAAGUCUCCCUGUUGCAACACACCUGAUUCAAAUGAUCAGAUCAUCAGCAAGCUCUGGGCAAGCCUGACAUUGAACCUGUUCAUUUGAAUUUGGCUGGAUCUUUGAUUGCAACAACAUGCCAGAAAUGUCUUCCAUUCUCUGAAGCAGACAUAUUCGAGUCACAUGACAUUUAACAAACAAAAUAUAUCAAAAUAGAUUAUUUCAACGAUUAUUAUUCAAAUGAAUUGACUUUCAUUUGACAGUUGGGUUCAGAUGCUUGCCAUUUUUGAUGAGUAAUGCACUUUGUGUGAGGUCCCCAGUAAUCACAUGUACUUGGUAUAGAUCCUGUGUGAAUUAUGUAAAUACAUUUAAAUAUAUUUAAAUUAAGUCCUCAUAAGGCAUGUAAACUGGACUUUUCUGAAGUCCCCAUAUGACAUGGUCCAACCACAUGACUUCAUAAAUUCUGAUAUUUAAAGGUGUUUAUAAGCUAACACCACCACCUUGUGUAUCCCUGAUUUUUUGCAGAGCUCUAUGUCAUUUAGAAAGGGUGGUCCCCGAAAGUGAUGAACUAAAAAGUAGUCCCCACAAAUCACAUAAACCGGUCUGUGUGUGUGUGUGUGUGUGUGUGUGUGUGUGUGUGUGUGUGUGUGUGUGUGUGUGUGUGUGUGUGUGUGUGUGUGUGUGUGUGUGUGUGUGUGUGUGUGUGUGUGUGUGUGUGUGUGUGUGUGUGUGUGUG